AGAGCCACCUGAAUAGACACAUGAUAAUUCAUACAGGGCAAAAAUCAUUUGUCUGUUCUGAGUGUGGUAGAAGAUUUGGAUUAAAGAGCUACCUGAAAAAACACAUGAUAAUUCAUACAGGACAAAAAACAUUUGUCUGUUCUGAGUGUAGUAGAAGAUUUGGACUAAAGAGCAACCUGAACAGACACAUGAUCAUUCAUACAGGACAAAAAUGCCAAAGAACAAGAUCACAGCCAUAAACCAGUUCGCAUUGCCAGUAGUGACCUAUGGGUUUGGUAUAGUAGACUGCCCACAGGGUGAGCUUAAUAAGUUAGAUACUAAAGCCAGGAAGAUGCUCACCCUACAUAAAGUUACAUAUAGAAAUCAAUUCAUGGACUGAAUAUAUCUCCCCUGUCGAGAAGGUCUUACAGAAAUCAACCAGGCUUAUGGAGUAUCUAUCAUAAGUAUUGGGCAGUACUUAAAGAGUUCUCAA